GGUUCCGCUCCGGGAAGCGGCCGGGAACGGGGCCGGUCCGGUCCGGUCCGGAUGGGCUCGGGGAGCCGCGGGGCGGGCGCGGAGCGCAGGAACCCGCUCCAGCGUGAGUGAGGAGCAGCUGCCUUCCCUGGGCGCUCCGGCAGAGAGGCGGCUGCUCCUUCCUUCGAGAUGGCAAGUGAUGGAGCCGGGAUUCCAGCCCAAGAAAGCUGGACCCUGGAGAUCUUCCCUCACUGACGUGGCUGUUCGGACACAGCCUUCUCCUCCUCCUGCUGCAAUAGCAAUGCUAGUGUCCCCAUGCAGCUGCAGUGAGGAGCUCUUGGCUUGGUCAGGAGUGAAUCCCCAGCUUGGCGUAGCAGCGCCAGUGGCUAUGGAGUGACCUGUGCUCCGGGUGCGUGGCUGAAGCGGCUGCCUGGGCACCGAAUGCGCCCGGCCCACGUGCUCCUCGCCUCUGCCAUGAAUGAUGCAUCGACGAUGGAUUAUGAACUGCUGUCCCCCUCCUUGGUUGAGCACCCAGCCGGCUCUGCGGGUAUGGAUGCUGAGCAGAAAACCGUCUUUGCCUUUGUCAUCUUCCUUCUGGUCUUCUUGGUGAUGCUGAUGGUGCGCUGCUUCCGCAUCCUGCUGGACCCCUACAGCCGCAUGCCCGCCUCCUCCUGGACUGACCACAAGGAGGGGUUGGAGAGGGGCCAGUUUGACUACGCCUUGGUGUAGAGGGCAGGGAUGGGGCGAGCCUGGGUGCUCUGUGUGCCUCCCACCCCGGCUGGCCCCGGCCCCGGCCCCCCCUUCCUCUGUGGUGUUGCCCUGGGCCAGCAAGGAUGCUCUGGGCAGGGAGGGGAGGUCAGGCUCUCGCCCGGGGUGGGUUUUCUAGGGGUUUCUCUCUUUUCUAAGCACUUUUCAGUUCUCUUUGCAGUCUGCAGGACUCUUGGAGAGAUAUGUUGGAGGGGGAGAUGUGGCUCUGCAUGGUCCCUGCUGCCCACCGUGGGACAGGGGCAGGAGGUGAUGGGGCAGGGCAUGGCGGGACCUGCCCUUGGCCACAGCCCACAGGGCUCCUGCUCUGGGUGGCUCUGCCUGGUGCCAGGCCAGAGCUUUGACCCCCACCUCCUCCUGCCCCCCCAUGUCACCCUCGUCUGUGUCCUCCGGGGAGUGCUGAUCGUGGUCCAGUGCGUGUGUGUGUGUGUCCCUGUAGCUGAGCUGUGUCUGUCAGGGGGUUUAUAGGCACCAGACCCAAGUGCUGGCUUUGUUCUUCUCUGUGUGGCAGCCCCAAGUGCCCCCCACCCCCAGUCCAUAAGGAGAACCUCUCCCUCCACCAUGGAAAUAAAGCUGCACUGUGCUAACCCCA
rnacentral:lncRNA from 1 species